rnacentral:rRNA from 1 species
UAGGGAAUCUUCGGCAAUGGACGAAAGUCUGACCGAGCAACGCCGCGUGAGUGAAGAAGGUUUUCGGAUCGUAAAACUCUGUUGUUAGAGAAGAACAAGGACGUUAGUAACUGAACGUCCCCUGACGGUAUCUAACCAGAAAGCCACGGCUAACUACGUGCCAGCAGCCGCGGUAAUACGUAGGUGGCAAGCGUUGUCCGGAUUUAUUGGGCGUAAAGCGAGCGCAGGCGGUUUCUUAAGUCUGAUGUGAAAGCCCCCGGCUCAACCGGGGAGGGUCAUUGGAAACUGGGAGACUUGAGUGCAGAAGAGGAGAGUGGAAUUCCAUGUGUAGCGGUGAAAUGUGUAGAUAUAUGGAGGAACACCAGUGGCGAAGGCGGCUCUCUGGUCUGUAACUGACGCUGAGGCUCGAAAGCGUGGGGAGCAAACAGG